AACACAUGCAAGUCGAACGAGAUUGAAGAGCUUGCUUUUCAUGAAAGUBGCGCACGGGUGCGUAACGGUAUGCAACCUACCUAAUCAGGGGGAUAGCCUCUCGAAAGAGAGAUUAACACCGCAUAAAAUCACAAGCUGGCAUCAGCAAAUGAUCAAAUAUUUAUAGGAUUAAGAUGGGCAUGCGUGACAUUAGUUUGUUGGUGAGGUAACGGCUCACCAAGACUACGAUGUCUAGGGGAUCUGAGAGGAUGACCCCCCACACUGGUACUGAGACACGGACCAGACUCCUACGGGAGGCAGCAGUAAGGAAUAUUGGUCAAUGGAGGCAACUCUGAACCAGCCAUGCCGCGUGCAGGAAGACGGCCCUACGGGUUGUAAACUGCUUUUAUACGGGAAUAAACCUCUUUACGUGUGAGGAGUUGAAUGUACUGUAAGAAUAAGGAUCGGCUAACUCCGUGCCAGCAGCCGCGGUAAUACGGAGGAUCCAAGCGUUAUCCCGAUUUAUUGGGUUUAAAGGGUGCGUAGGCGGCCUAUUAAGUCAGGGGUGAAAGACGGUGGCUCAACCAUCGCAGUGCCCUUGAUACUGAUGGGCUUGAUUACACUUGAGGUAGGCGGAAUGUGACAAGUAGCGGUGAAAUGCAUAGAUAUGUCACAGAACACCAAUUGCGGAGGCAGCUUACUAAGGUGUUAAUGCACGCUGAGGCACGAAAGCGUGGGGAUCAAACAGGAUUAGAUACCCUGGUAGUCCACGCCCUAAACGAUGAAUACUCGAUGUUAGCGAUAUACAGUUCAGCGUCAAAGCGAAAGGUUAAGUAUUCCACCUGGGGAGUACGCCCGCAAGKKGAAACUCAAAGGAAUUU
rnacentral:rRNA from 1 species